rnacentral:rRNA from 1 species
CGGCGUGCCUAAUACAUGCAAGUCGAACGCAUUGUGGUUGAAAUGAUAUGAAGAACUUGUUCAGAUUUGAUUUUCAACAUUGCAAUGAGUGGCGAACGGGUGAGUAACACGUGGGAAACCUACCUCUUAGCAGGGGAUAACAUUUGGAAACAAAUGCUAAUACCGUAUAAUAAUUAAAACCGCAUGGUUUUAGUUUAAAAGAUGGUCCUGCUAUCACUAAGAGAUGGUCCCGCGGUGUAUUAGUUAGUUGGUGAGGUAAUGGCUCACCAAGACAAUGAUACAUAGCCGAGUUGAGAGACUGACCGGCCACAAUGGGACUGAGACACGGCCCAUACUCCUACGGGAGGCAGCAGUAGGGAAUCUUCCACAAUGGACGAAAGUCUGAUGGAGCAACGCCGCGUGUGUGAUGAAGGGUUUCGGCUCGUAAAACACUGUUGUAAGAGAAGAAUGACAUUGAGAGUAACUGUUCAAUGUGUGACGGUAUCUUACCAGAAAGGAACGGCUAAAUACGUG